GAUGAACGCUGCCCGAAUGCUUAACACAUGCAAGUCAACUGUGGCGGACGGGUGAUUAACGCGUACAGAACUUGCCUCACAGAUAGUUACUACAUUUGGAAACGAAUGCUAAUACCUGAUACUGUGAGAGAGCUUUGCGUCCAAUUAGCUAGUUGGAGAGGUAACGGCUCACCAAGGCGAUGAUUGGUAGCCGGCCUGAGAGGGUGAUCGGCCAAAAGGGGACUGAGACACGGCCGUGACUCCUACGGGAGGCAGCAGUGGGGAAUAUUGGACAAUGGACCAAAGUCUGAUCCAGUAAUGCUGUGUGCACGAUGAAGUUUUCGGAAUGUAAAGUGAUUUCAGUUGGGAAGCAGUACCGACAGAAGAAGUGACGGCUAAAUACGUGCCAGCAGCCGCGGUAAUAC
rnacentral:rRNA from 1 species